GCAUCGUGUUGGAUUCUGGGGACGGUGUCACCCACAACGUGCCCAUCUAUGAGGGUUAUGCCCUGCCACACGCCAUCAUGCGUCUGGACCUGGCUGGUCGCGACCUUACUGACUACCUGAUGAAAAUCCUCACCGAGCGUGGCUAUUCCUUCGUGACCACAGGUAUGGAGUCUGCGGGGAUCCAUGAGACCACCUACAACAGCAUCAUGAAGUGCGACAUCGACAUCAGGAAGGACCUGUAC
rnacentral:lncRNA from 1 species